UGAAUGAAAGGCAAAGGUCAAGUGAGAGGG
rnacentral:piRNA from 1 species